rnacentral:rRNA from 1 species
GUAGUCAUAUGCUUGUCUCAAAGAUUAAGCCAUGCAUGUCUAAGUGUAAGCACUUUAUACUGUGAAACUGCGAAUGGCUCAUUAAAUCAGUUAUCGUUUAUUUGAUAAUACCUUACUACUUGGAUAACCGUGGUAAUUCUAGAGCUAAUACAUGCUAAAAACCCCGACUCCGGAAGGGGUGUAUUUAUUAGAUAAAAAACCAAUGCCCUUCGGGGCUCCUUGGUGAGUCAUAAUAACUUAGCGAAUCGCAUGGCCUUGCGCCGGCGAUGGUUCAUUCAAAUUUCUGCCCUAUCAACUUUCGAUGGUAGGAUAGUGGCCUACCAUGGUGGCAACGGGUAACGGGGAAU